rnacentral:rRNA from 1 species
AAUCAACGCUGGCGGCGUGCCUCAGACAUGCAAGUCGAACGAUUAAAGCUCUCUUCGGAGAGUGUAUAGAGUGGCGCACGGGUGAGUAACACGUAAGUAAUCUACCCUCGAGUGGGGAAUAACAACCGGAAACGGUUGCUAAUACCGCAUAAUGCAGCGGCACCGCAAGGUGACAGUUGUUAAAGAUUUAUCGCUUGAGGAGGAGCUUGCGGCAGAUUAGCUAGUUGGUAGGGUAACGGCUUACCAAGGCUACGAUCUGUAACCGGUCUAAGAGGACGGUCGGUCACACUGACACUGAAUAACGGGUCAGACUCCUACGGGAGGCAGCAGUCGGGAAUUUUGGGCAAUGGGCGAAAGCCUGACCCAGCAACGCCGCGUGAAGGAUGAAGUAUUUCGGUAUGUAAACUUCGAAAGAAUAGGAAGAAUUAAUGACGGUACUAUUUAUAAGGUCCGGCUAACUACGUA